rnacentral:tRNA from 1 species
UCCCUGCUGGCUCAGAGGUUAAAGCGUCUGCCUGCAAUGCGGGAGCCCCAGGUUUGAUUCCUGGCUCGGGAA